ensembl:lncRNA
CUACUUCUCUGUAGUGACCAGCAGGGGGCGACUCCUCUGCUCCCAUAGACGUCUAUGAGGAAAUGACUCUACUUCUCUGUAGUGACCAGCAGGGGGCGACUCCUCUGCUCCCAUAGACGUCUAUGAGGAAAUGACUCUACUUCUCUCUUGAUUUAUUCCCUCAGUAAACAUUGUAAACAUGAGUUUAUGGUCUCAGUCUCUAGUUUAAGUCUUCUUCAACACAACAUGAUGUUCAUUUAGUGACUGAUGGUCCAUGUAGAGUCAAACAGACCAUAAAGCAGAGGACGCUUUAGGACAGGUCUCUAGCAGAGACGUAUACGCCGUCUCUACGUCAUUCUCACUUCACAAGACAUCCACAAACCGAUGGAACCAGAGAGCUUAGAUGUGAUAAUAAAAGUCUUGUGUGUCAUUUUCAGCGUAGCAUAGCAUGUGGCGCUGCCACAGCAGAGCCACAUGCUUCUGAAGGUGAACGUGAAGCACGAAGACAUGAAUCCUCAUCAGCUUACUGCUGUCAGCAGAUGCAUGAUGGGAAAUCCCCCAUCUCAGCCCUUCCUGGACCUCUUCCGAGGAGCUCUACAGGGGUCUGUAAUUGGUUACCAGUAUCAGGAGGAGGAGCACGUCCUCGCUGCCUGUGAAGGCUGAAUGUUUACAGACCUCCAUCAGGGAGCGCUGCCAUCCUCCAUCAGCCCCUUAAUGUGGAGGGAAUCUCCCCAAGCACUGCAGACACGCUUUAAUUCUGACUCAUGGACGUUGUCUUGUCUGUGAAGACGACAGUGGCGCAGUGGUAGAGAGGGAGUGCCGGGAACCGCAAGGUUGGCGGUUCAAGCCCCAGCUGCUCCACGUCCAGUGUCCAAGUGUCCCUGAGCAAGACACCUACUUUCUCCCCGGGGGUUAAAAAUGUAAUGUAAGUCGCUUUGGAUAAAAGCGUCAGCUAAAUGACCUGUAAUCAUUAAAACAUGUGUCACGCUUAGGAGGGUACCUGAGCAGGUAGUACACAGCGUACCUGAGCAGGUAGUACACAGCGUACCUGAGCAGGUAGUACAGAGCGUACCUGAGCAGGUAGUACACAGCAUACCUGAGCAGGUAGUACAGAGCGUACCUGAGCAGGUAGUACACAGCAUACCUGAGCAGGUAGUACAGAGCGUACCUGAGCAGGUAGUACAGAGCGUACCUGAGCAGGUAGUACACAACGUACCUGAGCAGGUAGUACAGAGCGUACCUGAGCAGGUAGUACACAGCAUACCUGAGCAGGUAGUACAGAGCGUACCUGAGCAGGUAGUACACAACGUACCUGAGCAGGUAGUACAGAGCGUACCUGAGCAGGUAGUACACAACGUACCUGAGCAGGUAGUACACAGCAUACCUGAGCAGGUAGUACAGAGCGUACCUGAGCAGGUAGUACACAGCGUACCUAAUCCUUGAGUGGACCAUCUGCUCAUUGGUCCUGAGAGCAUCCUCCUCGUGUCAGUAGCAGGUUAAACGAUGACUCAGACAGGUGUGUGUUUGUACCUCAGUGUUCCUCAGUAUGCAAAUAUGUGAGCGUGUGAAUGAUUCAGAGAUGUCAAGUGAGCUCAUGAAUAUUAAGCAGGACGCUUGUUGAGCUGUGAAUAUUGCAUGGAGAGUGAAAGUGAGCAGAGACAGGAGCUGGUUGGCUGUGAGAGGACAUUAGAUAACCCAUGGACGUACUUUGAGAAAAACAUUGAUUGAUAGAAAUCAGUAUAAUUAGAAAUCUGCGUCUGUGAAGAAGAAGCUUCUGUAGAGCUGAAUAGAUGCUGCAAAGAAAACAGACGUCUGUGAUGGAACAUUAAGUCCACACACACACACACAUAGUGAGCCACAGAGCUGCAGGUGGUUGAGUCUGUUUGGGUUUAAAGUAUCUGUCUGCUGAGGCUCAUUAGACAUGUGACUCUAUCAGGAUGAAGACAGUAAGUGUGUGUGUUUUUCUGUGUUCUUCCGUCUGACUGGAGAAUGUGCUGCGUGUUUCUGUCCAACCGUCGUUUUUGUGUGUCAGGAAUCAGGAAUCAGGAAACAUUUAUUGCCAAAAUAUGUCAAACAUACAAGGAAUUUGUCUUGGCGGUUGGUGCGUGACAGUAGACAGUGUAACAAUAGACAACAAGACAGCAGUGCACAAGUAAUAAAAUGAAGUAAAAUGAAGUGAAAUGAAGUAUAUAAAACAAGUAUAAAACAAGAAUAAAGUUAAAGUUAAAAAUUUAAAAUAUUAAAAAAGUUAAAAAAUAUUAAGCAUAAAGUGCACUAGCGAACAAGUAGCAAAGUGACGAGUGACGACAAAGUGAGAAAUGACAGUUAAAGUGACAUGUGCAGUGUGAAGGGGAGUGACCGGUGGAGUGUUAGAGUCAGUCAGUGGGGGACCGGCUCUGUUGAUGAGCCCGACUGCUGACGGGAAGAAACUGUUGGUGUGGCGGGAGGUCUUAGUCCUGAUGGACCUCAGCCUCCUGCCAGAUGGAAGGGGCACAGACAGGUUUUGUCCGGGGUGAGAGGGGUCGGCUACCAUCUUUUUAGCUGCUUCAGAGACCUGGAAGUGAACAAGUCCUGCAGGGACGGCAGAUUGGAGCCGAUCACCCUCUCUGCAGAGCGGAGGACACGCUGCAGCCUGCCCUUGUCCUUGGCUGUGGCUGCAGCGUACCAGACGCUGAUGGAGGAGCAGAGGAUGGACUCCAUGAUGGCCGUGUAGAAGUGGA